UGGAGAAAAUGGAAAAUGUUUUUCCGAUAUCAAAUUAAUCAGCGUAAAACGUAAAAUUGCUAAAGACAAGCAGGACACACAGGACAUGCAGGGGGACGAGAUGAGCAUGCUCGUAUACAUGCACAAGCUGUACUGAUAUUUCAAAAGCACAGAAAUUCUAACGAAUUUAUUAUGCACAAAAGGUAAACAAUGCGGCGAAUGAUGGAAUACGAUUAUGUAAGCACCAGUGGAACUCUCGGGCAACAAGCAGCAACAACAAGAACAAUACGUACGAUAACGACUUCACGAUAAUAAUCGUAAACCAACCAAACUACUCAUGAAACCAAGAAUCCAUGCAACCAUAAAACCAUAGACCCAUGAGUCCAAUCAACGCUGCAGCUGUUGCCGCUCACC